rnacentral:rRNA from 1 species
AACAGGAUUAGAUACCCUGGUAGUCCACGCCGUAAACGUUGGGCGCUAGGUGUGGGGACUGUUUCCACGGUCUCCGUGCCGUCGCUAACGCAUUAAGCGCCCCGCCUGGGGAGUACGGCCGCAAGGCUAAAACUCAAAGGAAUUGACGGGGGCCCGCACAAGCGGCGGAGCAUGCGGCUUAAUUCGAUGCAACGCGAAGAACCUUACCAGGGCUUGACAUGCACGGUGCAGCCGUAGAGAUACGGUGUCCUUUGGGGUCGUGCACAGGUGGUGCAUGGUUGUCGUCAGCUCGUGUCGUGAGAUGUUGGGUUAAGUCCCGCAACGAGCGCAACCCUCGUCCUGUAUUGCCAGCAUGCCCCUUCGGGGGUGAUGGGGACUUGCGGGAGACUGCCGGGGUCAACUCGGAGGAAGGUGGGGAUGACGUCAAAUCAUCAUGCCCCUUAUGUCCUGGGCUGCACGCAUGCUACAAUGGCCGGUACAGAGGGCUGCGAUACCGUGAGGUGGAGCGAAUCCCGUAAAGCCGGUCUCAGUUCGGAUCGGGGUCUGCAACUCGACCCCGUGAAGUCGGAGUCGCUAGUAAUCGCAGAUCAGCAACGCUGCGGUGAAUACGUUCCCGGGCCUUGUACACACCGCCCGUCACGUCACGAAAGUCGGUAACACCCGAAGCCCAUGGCCCAACCCUCCGGGGAGGGAGUGGUCGAAGGUGGGACUGGCGAUUGGGACGAAGUCGUAACAAGGUAACC